rnacentral:tRNA from 1 species
GCUAGUGUAGCUUAACAGGUAGAGCAGCUGAUUUGUAAUCAGCAGGUCGGGAGUUCGAUUCUCUUCACUAGCU